rnacentral:rRNA from 1 species
UACGGAGGGUGCGAGCGUUGUCCGGAAUCACUGGGCGUAAAGGGCGCGUAGGCGGCGCGACAAGGCGGCGGUGAAAGUCCGGGGCUCAACCCCCGGAUCGGCCGUGGCGACUGUCGCGCUCGAGCACAGUAGAGGCGGGUGGAAUUCCGGGUGUAGCGGUGGAAUGCGUAGAGAUCGGGAAGAACAUCAGUGGCGAAGGCGGCCUGCUGGGCUGUUGCUGACGCUGA